UUGGAGGGCAAGUCUGGUGCCAGCAGCCGCGGUAAUUCCAGCUCCAAUAGCGUAUAUUAAAGUUGUUGCAGUUAAAAAGCUCGUAGUUGAAUUUCGGGGUUCUUCCGUUGGUCAGGCUAACAAGUCUGUACUAGCGUGUAGAAUCUCUACCUUCUGGGGAACCAUCAUGUUAUUAAUUUAGCGUGGUGGGAAACCAGGACCUUUACCUUGAAAAAUUAGAGUGUUCAAAGCAGGCUUACGUCUGAAUACAUUAGCAUGGAAUAAUAAAAUAGGACGGUGGUCCUGUUUUGUUGGUUUCUGAAUCACCGUAAUGAUUAAUAGGGAUAGUUGGGGGCAUUAGUAUUCAAUUGUCAGAGGUGAAAUUCUUGGAUUUAUUGAAGACUAACUUCUGCGAAAGCAUUUGCCAAGGAUGUUUUCAUUAAUCAAGAACGAAAGUUAGGGGAUCGAAGACGAUCAGAUACCGUCGUAGUCUUAACCAUAAACUAUGCCGACUAGGGAUCGGACGAUGUUAAAUUUUAUUGACUCGUUCGGCGCCUUACGGGAAAC
rnacentral:rRNA from 1 species